AUUAAUAGUUUUGCAAAACACACUGACAAAAUUAAAGCCAUACAUCCCAAAUGUGUUAACACAACUGACAUAAAUGACAACUGAAGGUGUGAAAAAUAGAAGUUUAUGUCACACAUAAGAAAAACCAGCCAAUAGACUGAUGCUCUAUCAGCCACGCAAAGCAUCGGUGUCUUAACAUCGUCAAAAAUCGUCUUGGUUCUCGCUUUAAAGUUUGCGGCUUGAAAACAGGCCUUUGUUUUGCAACUGCUGCUCUGGUAGUAGUCCAUCUGGGAGUUCUGUCCUGGCACGUACAAACAUGUGUGAUAGCGUGUCGGUGUGUAGGCGGGAGAACAAGAUGGAAAGAGUCAAAAGAUUGUGUGUAGCCCUUUGUAUUCGGUGUUAGUUAAAUUCACGUGCGAUUUAAGGUUUGCCGUUUACAGUUCUCCACCUGAUGGCUUCGGAGGUUGUGCAUCAGCCGUCGUGGCUGCCAAUAUGUUCAUAUUCCUCACUACGUGCGGGGGUUUGUGUAUGUCUGCGCGUGGGGGCCGCAGCAAGCUGUGUCAACACCACCUGAGCGCCAUGGCAACAACACACUGCUAUAUAGAGAAAGGAACAGAGAUCUCCGCCUCCACCGGGGUUUUACAGCUGGUUUUGGACAAAAAAAAGGGUCUGGAAAUCACUUUGAAGUUGGGUCCAGCAGUGCAGGAGAAAAAUGCCUUUGAUGUGGGUAACCAGAAAGUGUCUUAUAAAUGCCCCAGGUGUUACAAUAGGUGAACAAUGCAAAAUCCUGCUAAUUCAUCGCAAACCCAAUGCUGCAUAGAUCAUGCUUCCAGACGCACAACCCCUGAUGCAGCUUUUUUUCAUAUAUAUAUAUAUUUUCUUUACAUUUAUUUCCAGUAGAAAUAUUGCUCAAAGCGUUUUUGACAAGGAUAAGAACAUACCCGACGUUGCUAUUUCAGCCAACUGCUGAACAUCUGGCUCCGACUGUCCGUGACUUUAUUGGUGUGCUUAUGGGAUCUCCGUGUUAGGUUCUCUAGCCAUCCAAGGAUGACUUAUCUGAAGGGGGAAUGUCUAACAUUUUACUACCUGCACACAUGCAACAUUUGAGCGUUAGUUACACGGUGCCGCAACAGAGAAACCACGUGCCUGGUCCCAAAAACGGUUGUACAGGACUCCCUGUACUUUAUAAUGGAAGUAUAAUGCAGGUUAUUAGGGAAUUUUUACCAUGACAAAAGGUGCCCUAUAAAGAAUAUUUAUGAAAACUAUUACUCAUUAAAGAAUUCCAAGUUGAUGAAGCAGAAUUUUCCUUACCUGUUCAGGGUGAAUCCCAGCUCUUAUCCAUUGACCACCAGAAAGAUACGCAAACCCUGCAAGGAUGAAGGAAUAACAAAAAAAAACUCAAUGGAUCUUCCUGCAGAUUCAAACAAGGAAUUGGUGAGGCACCAUUGCUACUUUUGCAGUUUGAGCAGCAAGGGGACUUUAAAGCAUUAAAACCAUCUUAGUAUAAUACAAGAAUAUGUUGAGGUAAAACAUCAAUUGGCUAGGCAUUUGAUGUUCUCCAGCCAUUUGCAAAACAGCUUUCUACCAAAGAUUAACUGUUUGGACAUAACACAGGGACUGAGGCAUGCAUCUGGACUCUAAAGCUCCCUGAUAAA